CGGACGAUUGUGUAUUACCAUUAAUUAGACGUUCAUAAAUCUACUUUGAUUUCUUUUAAAAAUUCGGUGACUUCUAUAAAAAAACUUACAUUCUUCGUUUGAAAAAGUUCAGAUUUCACAAGCAGUCUUUGAAUCUGUAUACAUAACCGGCAUAAUAAUCUGGUUCUGUCUGAUUAUAUUCAAGGCAUGAUCUAUUGCGAUUAGUUCUGCAGUUGCAAUACUGGUUUCUGAGCUAUGUAUUCGUGUCUGAUUUCUAAAGGAUGCUGAGCAGCUAUUGCCAUUAAAGUAUUGAUAGUAGUGGUUUUUGUACAACCGGUAAUUCUUCGUAAACAGCUGUUAUUGAUUGUUUCAAGUUGUUUUUUGAUCGUUCGUGCUAGUACUGUUGUAAAUAGAUGAUCCGUAUUCUAUUACGCUUCGAAACAAUGUUUUAUAAAUAGAUGUCAUCAUCUGUGGAUGGGCUCCUUUCUUAAUACUGGUUAGGACUUUAAUCACAUUCAGUCUAUCUGUAAUUUUUUCUUUAACUGUUCUAAUGUGAGUUCCGAAACUAAGAAAUUUGUCCAUAGUAAUACCUAAAUAUAUAU